UACGUAGGGUGCGAGCGUUGUCCGGAAUUAUUGGGCGUAAAGGGCGUGUAGGCGGCUUCGUGUGUCCCAUGUGAAAGCCCUCGGCUCAACCGGGGAACUGCAUGGGAAACUGCAAAGCUUGAGUCCGGGAGAGGUGAGUGGAAUUCCCAGUGUAGCGGUGAAAUGCGUAGAUAUUGGGAGGAACACCGGUGGCGAAGGCGGCUCACUGGACCGGUACUGACGCUGAGACGCGAAAGCCAGGGGAGCAAACGGG
rnacentral:rRNA from 1 species